ACAGAUUCCGACACUAUAACUCGUGUAUUACGAUAUUUCUCCACUUGAGACAGUUAAAUUUUAAGCCUCGUGCUUUAAAUAAUAAAAUUUAACUGUCUCGAGUGGAGAAAUAUCGUAAUACACUUGAUGCAGUGUAGGAAUCUAU
rnacentral:sRNA from 1 species